GCACAAGUAGCUAAACAUCACCUUCAGCGAGGGGCAACUGAAAGAAGGCAGAUUUGCGAACUUCUUCCAAGAGAAAGAAAGAAGAUGAUCAUCAAGUGAGACUGAACCACGUGCCCACCACAAAACCCCAGAGGCAGUUGCCGGUGGUCAUUCCGCGUGCCUCCUUCCUAACGCCCUAUUUCAACUGGCUCUGCUCCCCGCAAAUACUCUACCAACGCCCUCCAGUAGCACGCCCAGGCCUGCUGCAACUGCUUUCUACCUCAAGCGGUGGCUGCCCUGAAAUGCUUUACUUUCGAUUUUCACCGUGUCGCUGCUGUUCUGGAGUCCAGAUUGGAACCUUCUGAGGAAACUCUGGCCAGAUCUAAAAUAAGUUGUGUGAUCACAAGGAGAGAGAUGCAAAACUUCAUGAACAGAGUGACAGAUACAGAGACAGACAAGGAGGAAGUGAGAUGUGGAGACAGUUCAAGAUUAUACGUAAUGGAAGCAGAAUAGUUUGGGGAAAGAUCUGGAGUUGAGAGCCUGAGUGUCUGGCUUAAACCCUUGCUCUGUAACCUGGGACAAAUACUUAUCCAAAAGAUGAAGGUAACCACACUGAUGAGGAAAAAGAAUAAAGUUUCUGAAGUGCUUAAACACACUCAGGAUUGCCUAAGUUUUAU
ensembl:lncRNA